rnacentral:rRNA from 1 species
UACGGGGGGGGCAAGCGUUGUUCGGAAUUACUGGGCGUAAAGAGCUCGUAGGCGGCUUGUUGCGUCGGCUGUGAAAUCCCGGGGCUUAACUCCGGGCGUGCAGCCGAUACGGGCAGGCUAGAGUCCGGUAGGGGAGACUGGAAUUCCUGGUGUAGCGGUGAAAUGCGCAGAUAUCAGGAGGAACACCGGUGGCGAAGGCGGCGACCUGGUCCGAUACUGACGCUGAGGCGCGAAAGCGUGGGGAGCAAACAGG